AGAAUGAGCCAACUAUGCCCUUUGGAGUCCAGUUGAUUACAUCAACAGUGCCGUACUGGACAUGGAGAACCAGGAUUCUUGGACCCAGUUGCUCUCUCCAGCUCUUCCCACUGCAAUGUACAUCCCUCUGUUUAUAAUAGGAAAUCCAAAAGGCCUAACUCCCAGGAAGCUGAUAUAACAACAUUUGGAAAGAGGGAAGCUGGUGGGUCUGAAUCCAACCUGACCACUGACCUUAUAAGCAGAAAGAAUCCAGACACACACAGAAGACCACCCAUGCAAGUGAAGAUUCAAGUCAAGGAGAGCGGCCUCAAAGGAGCCAUCUCUAUGACACCUUGACUUUGGGUUUCCUUCUGCUAAGACCAGGAGACAAGAGAUUCUUGCUUCUAAGCACCAGCCAGUCUGCUGUCCUAGGUCAUGGAACCCUCACUGACCCCUACACCCUUUUUAAUGACCCUUUUUAACGCUCACCCGGAGAAGAGCCAGCCCCAAGCCCAACACUAUGUCCAAAUAACAGCCUUGCCUAUGGUGUGAAGUUCCCUGAUUACUAGACUCUCCUGGACGUCUUAUCAUCUCCAGCUUGCACAGAGCUGAUGCUUCGGCUUUGAAGACAGCCAUGAACAGACUCUACCUCACUUCCACUUCAAGAGCAACAUCAUCUCCCCUGCUCAGAGUGCAUGAGGCACGUAUGAGAUUGGAUCACCGGGGACUUUGAUGUUAGCUCCUGUCUCUGUGGAACUCUAAAGGAAGAACACCAGAGAGGUGAGCCUCCAACAGGGGAGAAAGAAUGGCCUCCAGCCCAGAGACCUCACCUGCUGGUCAAAGGAAAAGGACUGUGGUGGAAGGGCUGGACAGAAUCUAUGGAGCAGCCCAGCGGAGAAGCUGUGCCAGCUUCAGACCGGCUAGGUGGAAAAACUA